rnacentral:snRNA from 1 species
GUGCUCGCUUCGGCAGCACAUAUACUAAAAUUGGAACGAUACAGAGAAGAUUAGCUUGGUCCCUGCAUGAGGAUGACACGCAAAUUCGUGAAGCAUUCCAUAUUUUU